rnacentral:rRNA from 1 species
UGUCGUCAGCUCGUGUUGUGAAAUGUUGGGUUAAGUCCCGCAACGAGCGCAACCCUUAUCCUUUGUUGCCAGCGGUCCGGCCGGGAACUCAAAGGAGACUGCCAGUGAUAAACUGGAGGAAGGUGGGGAUGACGUCAAGUCAUCAUGGCCCUUACGACCAGGGCUACACACGUGCUACAAUGGCGCAUACAAAGAGAAGCGACCUCGCGAGAGCAAGCGGACCUCAUAAAGUGCGUCGUAGUCCGGAUUGGAGUCUGCAACUCGACUCCAUGAAGUCGGAAUCGCUAGUAAUCGUGGAUCAGAAUGCCACGGUGAAUACGUUCCCGGGCCUUGUACACACCGCCCGUCACACCAUGGGAGUGGGUU